UCAUGUGACGGUCACACUGAAAAAUCCCUCAUCCAUUUGUAUAAUAAACCAGACCUGGGAAUCUGGGCUUUGUCCAUUUGUAUAUAAGCACUAGCUAAUGUGCAUCGUAUUAGUCAGUAGUGGCAGCAGUAGUAGUCAGCCAUGGCAAACGCCAACAUUCUAGACGCAGAGCGCGAGAGCUUCCACAGGUUCUUUGAGUGCUGGCUUGAUGAACAAAACCAGCACCUCCACGACCUCACUAUCGCCGCAAGAAAUAACACCACCGCCACCACUACCGCCGCUACUAAUCCUGCAACAACCACUGCUGCUAUUAAUACUAGCAGUACAAGUUUAGGAAAACUGGUGGAACGUGUGGUGAAGCAUUACGAGCAUUACUACGAGGUCUAGUCGAGAUGGGAUAAGCAGGACGUCCUCGGAAUGCUGUCGCCUUCUUGGCUGAGCUCCCUCGAGGACGCCUUCCUUUGGAUUGGCGGCACAAAACUCAUGCCCAAGAUGCACAGAAAUCUUCCACCCCACUACCCAAUCCUCCCAAAGCAACUCGAUCGCGACGUUGCUACAGGGCACGGAAGAAUCGAAAAGAUGUAGAAAACCCGUCGUUGCUGCAGGCCAUGGCGACCCAUUCUGUUGACCUAACUGGCCAUGGUGGAGCUCAAUCAGAGAAUCCUCACCUUCCUAUUCGGAACUCUCUAAUUCACGUCAAUCUGACUCCUCGUGUGGUUUGAUUCCUCGAUGUUUCUUUACAAUAAUGGAUCUGCGAGUACUUAUUUCUG
rnacentral:lncRNA from 1 species